AGAUUAGAGACCUGCGUAGUCCUAGCCGUAAACGCAUGCUUGCUAGCUGCAUGAAUCUACCUUCGGGUGGUAUCGUGUGGCGAAGGUAACCCGUUAAGCAAGCCGCCUGGAAAGUACGGCCGCAAGGCUGAAAUUCAAAGGAAUUGGCGGGGAGGCACACAACCAGUGGAACAUGUGGUUUAAUUCGAGACUAACCGAAGAACCUCACCAGGGUUUGACAUGUAGCUGCACGUCUUAAGAAAUUAAGACUCUCUUGAAGGUGCUACACAGGUGCUGCAUGGCUGUCGUCAGCUCGUUCCGUGAGGAGUGCCCUUAAGUGGGACAACGAGCGCAACCCCUAUUACAUGUUAGAAAUGUCAUGUAAGACUGCCUUGCCAUUUGGCGGGGAGGAAGGAGGGGCAGACGUCAAGUCCGCAUGGUCCUUAUGCCCUGGGCUACACACAUGUUACAAUGAGUACGGCAAUGAGUCUGUCGCGAGCACGUAAGUGUAAGCUAAUCUCUUAAAUGUACUCUCAGUGGGGAUUGAGGUCUGCAACUCGACCUCAUGAACACGGAAUUGGUAGUAAUCGCGGGUCAGCUAUACCGCGGUGAAUACGUUCUUGCCUCUUGCACACACCGCCCGUCAAACCAGCAAAGUCG
rnacentral:rRNA from 1 species